rnacentral:rRNA from 1 species
UGGGGAAUAUUGCACAAUGGGCGAAAGCCUGAUGCAGCAACGCCGCGUGAGUGAUGAAGGUCUUCGGAUUGUAAAGCUCUGUCUUUUGGGACGAUAAUGACGGUACCAAAGGAGGAAGCCACGGCUAACUACGUGCCAGUAGCCGCGGUAAUACGUAGGUGGCGAGCGUUGUCCGGAUUUACUGGGCGUAAAGGGUGCGUAGGCGGAUGUUUAAGUGAGAUGUGAAAUACCCGGGCUUAACUUGGGUGCUGCAUUUCAAACUGGAUAUCUAGAGUGCAGGAGAGGAGAAUGGAAUUCCUAGUGUAGCGGUGAAAUGCGUAGAGAUUAGGAAGAACACCAGUGGCGAAGGCGAUUCUCUGGACUGUAACUGACGCUGAGGCACGAAAGCGUGGGUAGCAAACAGGAUUAGAUACCCUGGUAGUCCACGCCGUAAACGAUGAGUACUAGGUGUAGGAGGUAUCGACCCCUUCUGUGCCGCAGUAAACACAUUAAGUACUCCGCCUGGGAAGUACGAUCGCAAGAUUAAAAC